AUGGGCUCCAGGCUCCUCUGCUGUGUAGCCCUUUGUCUCCUGGGAGCAGGCCCAGUGGACUCUGAAGUCAUGCAAAACCCCAAGUAUCUGGUCACAGCGAGAGGACAGAACGCGAACCUCACAUGUUCCUAUGAGAACGGACACCUGUCUGUGUACUGGUAUAAGCAGGCUCCGGGCCAGGGUCCAGCGUUCCUGGUUCGAUAUUAUGAUGAGAAAGAGCAAGAAAAAGAAAAUCUCCCUGACCGAUUCAAAUUUGUGCAGUUGACAGGCAAUUAUCGCUCUGAGCUGAACAUGAGCUCCAUGGAGCUGGGGGACACGGCCCUGUAUUUCUGCGCCAGCAGCUUGGCACAGCCCUGCAAGAGCCACAGCCCAGAGCACAAAAACCCUCCAGCCCAGCUCAGGAAGUGA